UGGGGACGACACAGAUUGAGGUGGCUGGAUGGAGUCACUGAAACAGUUGGUGUGAGCUUAAAUGGACUCCGGGGGAUGGUAGAGGACAGGAAGGCCUGGAGGAACGUUGUCCAUGGGGUCACGAUGGGUCGGACACGACUUCGUGUCUAACAACAACAGGAUUACUUUUAUUGUAGCAGGUUCUUCUCAGGGCUGCAUCCUAAGUCUGCUGUAGUUCUCUGUCUGACCCAUGACUGUUGCACAAGUUUUGCUACAACCAUAUUGUGAAGUAUGCAGAUGAUACAACAGUGAAUACUUCAAAGAAAUCGGUUCUGGAAUGCUUCUAAAGAACUUCAAGGAAUUUGGAUGGAAAGUACUCAGCAAAGGCAAGCACUUGAUCGAUUGUGCCUGAACUCUAUAGCUAAGCAGGGCUGGAC